rnacentral:rRNA from 1 species
UACGGGGGGAGCAAGCGUUGUUCGGAUUUACUGGGCGUAAAGGGCGCGUAGGCGGCCACCGCAAGUCGGUUGUGAAAUCUCCGGGCUUAACCCGGAAAGGUCAAUCGAUACUGCGGGGCUAGAGUGCAGAAGGGGCAACUGGAAUUCUCGGUGUAGCGGUGAAAUGCGUAGAUAUCAGGAGGAACACCGGUGGCGAAGGCGGGUCUCUGGGCCGAUACUGACGCUGAGGAGCGAAAGCGUGGGGAGCGAACAGG